rnacentral:rRNA from 1 species
UUACAUUUGAGUGAGUGGCGAACUGGUGAGUAACACGUGGGAAACCUGCCCAGAAGCGGGGGAUAACACCUGGAAACAGAUGCUAAUACCGCAUAACAACUUGGACCGCAUGGUCCGAGCUUGAAAGAUGGCUUCGGCUAUCCUUUUGGAUGGUCCCGCGGCGUAUUAGCUAGAUGGUGGGGUAACGGCUCACCAUGGCAAUGAUACGUACCGACCUGAGAGGUAA